AAAAAUACUAGUCAAGUCAGUCCAGGACUCUUGCAUUUUCUGCAGUUGCAGUCACACUAAAACCUGUUGCUUCGUUUGUGUGGUCUGCAGCUGGGGUUCUCUUCUGGAUCUGCUGCUAAAGCCCAUCAGAUCACAACACAAAAGAUGGCAUAUGGCUGUAUGAGCAUGCUCUGAACAAGCUGUGAAUUCCCUAAAGGGAAUGUUGUGUCCCUCUAUUCUGCUGAGUAGAAUGUGGAUAUGGUAGUAAGCCAUCUUGUACUAUGUGGGGUGUGGGCAGAGCCUUAGGGAUGGUAGAUCAGUAAGAU
ensembl:lncRNA